ensembl:lncRNA
GCGAUCCUAAGCAUUUUAUGCCGAUAUUAAUAACUCUUCAUUAUUUUUAGAUUUAUAAGGUGUUAUGGUUUAAUUGUGUGCGAUAAAAAUGCUGCUGCUGAUGUCCUGGUCCUGAUGUAAGUCUGUGGCUCUGGAGGAUACAGAUGCGUCAGUCACUCACACAAACAAACAGCCACACUGUCAUACGUAAGACGCUUCUGUAUCACGGUGACUAAGCAUUUUAUCUAAGCCGUGUGACUUCACCGGUCACGAUAAUUCGGUGAUUUAAUCUGACCCUAAAUGCGCUCGGUAUUGCUGAGUGAUUGCAGUAUGCUGACUCACCUUCAUCAGUUCAGGCAGCGAACGCCAGGUGGCGCUGCUAGCCGCGGAGGAAGCUUCCACUCCUCGUCACUUCCAGGAACAACGACCGGGAGGCAUCUAAAGUGAAGUGGGGGGUGUGGGGCACGAAUCCAAUUUGUGCCAGCAUCUGUGAUUGGUCAUGGCCGUGAUCUCUGACGUGCCGCGUGACGCUGCUCUCAUCUCCUGAUCGCCGCAUCACUCCGGCGUCUGUCUCAAAAUUGGCUUUGUGCUCUGUGUCUCAAAAUUGUGCUGCUGCACAAAAACUUUCUCAUGACUGAUGAGGAGACAAACCAACUGUGAUUUCAGUCUCAGAAAUCACUGCACACUUUAAUGGAGAAAGAAAGAUGGAUUUGGAACAACACCAGGUGCUAAGAGAAAUGACAUCCAAGAGGGUUGCAGACAAACAUUUGUCCAGAUGAGCUGCGGUAACAGGAUUGUGUUUGGACAGGAGCUUCUCUCUGUAGGGAACAAGAUUCUCUGAAGUGAAACGCUGGAGGAUUCUAAGAAUGAACCACUUGCAGAACUUUCUUUGCGGUUCUGAUGAUUCAUCCACCCAACCGUGAGAUGACUAGACUGCAGCUCUGACCAAAUUCAACUGCUGUAAGAACAAGCUGAAGAAGUUGAGAAAUACAUGCUGGCGGUUAUUCUGAAAAUGUCUGUUUCCCACCGGAAUGAAACGUAUACAGGCAAAACAUUGAAAAGCCCCCUCCGUUGGAGAGAGAGAAAGAGAGGGAUGGAAUAAGAAUGAGAGCGAGUGAAACAGAGUGAAAAUAGUCAUACAGCUUGAGGGACGUUCCUGAGAUGACAGACAUGCACACCUACAGGAGUUCAGGGGUGAAGCCCCCCCAUGGCGACGGAAACGGCCCGAGGAAAGGCCUCAUGCUGAAGGGAGAGGGGCCCGGCAGCUCCCUCAAACAAUGGAAGUUCUUGGAAGAUUUUAGGAAGAAAAAAAACUUUGGUGGAAUGGAAAGUUUCCAUGGAUGAUAAAAGUUCUUGAUGGAACUUUAUCUCUUUACAAUCAGACCUGAGGUGAUUCCCUGUGUUUUGGAGGGCUUUGGUGUAAAGAUGGUCUUUUGGAAUGCUCUGGAAUCUGUCAGGACGUUUUCCUGCUUCCAACUGAACAGCCUCAGGACACAAGCUGAACAUGCACUGACAUCUUGUCUUUUUCAUAAUGGUCUCGCUUUGGUUGCUUUAGCACCUCUCUGUCUACAGCUUCAGAACGGUUCAGGAGCCGGUUGUCUAGAUGACGGCACAUUUACAUGUUUAAAGACUGAAUGGGGACUUCACAAUGCAGAUUGUCAGGAGACAAAC